GUCUAGGGCCAUACCACCCUGAACGCACCUGAUUUUGUCUGCUCUCGGAAGCUAACCAGGGUCGGGCCUCGUUAGUACUUGGAUGGGACAAUCUCACCCUGGGAUGGGACAGCCUAGAUC
rnacentral:rRNA from 1 species